rnacentral:rRNA from 1 species
AGAGGUGAAAUUCGUAGAUAUUAGAAAGAAUACCAAUUGCGAAGGCAGCUUUCUGGAUCAUUACUGACGCUGAGGAACGAAAGCAUGGGUAGCGAAGAGGAUUAGAUACCCUCGUAGUCCAUGCCGUAAACGAUGUGUGUUAGACGUUGGAAAUUUAUUUUCAGUGUCGCAGCGAAAGCAGUAAACACACCGCCUGGGGAGUACGACCGCAAGGUUAAAACUCAAAUGAAUUGACGGGGACCCGCACAAGUAGUGGAGCAUGUGGUUUAAUUCGAAGAUACGCGCAGAACCUUACCAACACUUGACAUGUUCGUCGCGACUCUAAGAGAUUAGAGUUUUCGGUUCGGCCGGACGAAACACAGGUGCUGCAUGGCUGUCGUCAGCUCGUGUCGUGAGAUGUUGGGUUAAGUCCCGCAACGAGCGCAACCCUCACUUUUAGUUGCCAUCAUUUAGUUGGGCACUCUGAAAGAACUGCCAGUGAUAAGCUGGAGGAAGGUGGGGAUGACGUCAAGUCCUCAUGGCCCUUACGUGUUGGGCUACACACGUGCUACAAUGGCAUUUACAAUAGGAAGCAAGAUGGCGACAUUAAGCAAAUCCUAAAAAAAUGCCUCAGUUCGGAUUGUACUCUGCAACUCGAGUACAUGAAGCUGGAAUUACUAGUAAUCGCGGAUCAGCGCGCCGCGGUGAAUACGUUCCCGGGUCUUGUACACACCGCCCGUCACACCAUGGGAGUUGGUUCUACCUUAAGGCAAAGUUUAAAACCUUUGACCACGGUAUAGUCAGCGACUGGGGUGAAGUCGUAACAAGGUAGCCGUAGGGGAACCUGCGGCUG